rnacentral:rRNA from 1 species
CGCGUGGAACGUGCCUUUCACUACGGAAUAGCUCUUGGAAACGAGUGGUAAUACCGUAUACGCCUCCGGGGAACAGAUUUAUCGGUGAAAGAAUCGGUCCGCGUUAGAUUAGCUAGUUGGUGGGGUAAGUGGCCUACCAAGGCGACGAUCUAUAGCUGGUCUGAGAGGAUGAUCAGCCACACUGGGACUGAGACACGGCCCAGACUCCUACGGGAGGCAGCAGUGGGGAAUAUUGGACAAUGGGGCGCAAGCCUGAUCCAGCCAUGCCGCGUGAAUGAUGAAGGCCUUAGGGUUGUAAAA